AUGACCGACGGUGAGGUCGUUCCUGUUACGAGCUGGAGCAAAGGCGAUCUGCAGCUGUGGGCGUCCGGGUGGGGUAUUGAGCGCGAGGUGACCAAGCUCAACCAUGUCCACCGACAGCUCAAGUCGGUGCUCACCGUGAUGGAGGGGAAGGAGAUCCAUAACGUGGAGCUCGCGCGAUCUCUUAGGGAAGCCCGUGGUAUGGCCUCCCACGGCGAGGACCUCUGGAGCGGGCUGGAGUACUACCGCUUCCAGGAGGCCGACGGCGGCGGCGAGGAUGGUCGUUGGGUCGAUGGAUCUCAAGGUCUCCUGGGCCUGGUCGAGGAAGAAGGGGGAUCAGGGACUGCCGUUGUCGACGACAUGCCACAGGUGAGAGAGAUGGCCAUGCUGGUAGCCUCAUAUCUCCACCGGAGAUUUUUAUUUAUCACUGAUCAUCAUACAAAAAUAAAAAAAUGA
rnacentral:rRNA from 1 species